rnacentral:rRNA from 1 species
UGGGGAAUAUUGGACAAUGGGCGAAAGCCUGAUCCAGCCAUGCCGCGUGUGUGAAGAAGGUCUUCGGAUUGUAAAGCACUUUAAGUUGGGAGGAAGGGCAGUAAGCGAAUACCUUGCUGUUUUGACGUUACCGACAGAAUAAGCACCGGCUAACUCUGUGCCAGCAGCCGCGGUAAUACAGAGGGUGCAAGCGUUAAUCGGAAUUACUGGGCGUAAAGCGCGCGUAGGUGGUUCGUUAAGUUGAAUGUGAAAGCCCCGGGCUCAACCUGGGAACUGCAUCCAAAACUGGCGAGCUAGAGUAGGGCAGAGGGUGGUGGGAUUUCCUGUGUGGCGGUGAAAUGCGUAGGUAUAGGGAGGGACACCAAUGGCGAAGGCGACCACCUGGGCUCAUACUGACGCUGGGGUGCGAAAGCGUGGGGAGCAAACAGG